AGAUGAGGGAACGUAGGAACACUGGGGACUCUCCCCCAACUUACCAGGCCCCAGAAGUUAUUUCCCAGGCAGCGUUUUGACCAAGAUUGACAGAAAAAACUCACUAAGGGAGCCCCAAGGAAAGAACUUCGGUGAGCAAGACUUGAGGAAGAGGGCGUUAGGCCGCUGUUGUCCAGGACACGUCAGUUACAUGUGAAUCCCUUCUGGCAAUUCAGCAAUAGCCAUUGUAACUUUCAGGUUUUUGAUGUGGUCUCCUUUUUGCAGACAAUAGAGUUAUAUCCUCUCUUACUUCUGAGGUCUGCUGCCUUGUGGCAGAAGUUGACCACAUGGAAAUUUUCCACUUGGAAAUUCACACGUUGUUUCCUCUUGGUUUAUCGGUAGGCAGAAGUUACUACAUGGAGGGAGGGGGGAAACUGGUUUAACCUUGGCUGCUUGAUAGUGGAUCUGAAAGUCUAGUAUUGCAUGAGAAGUCCCUGCUAGAUAAAAUGUAAUAUUGGGGUCCCAUCUACAGUGACUGUGGUUUAGUAGUUCCGGGUGGGCCUUGGCAGUAUACGUUUUUGAGCAAGCACCCCAAUAACUCUCAUAUGGAUGUUUCAAGACCUCGUGAUGUGGAGUACUGAUCUAGGUCCUCUUAGAACAGGAUGGAAGUUUGCUGAAGCGGGGAGAAGAUUGGCCAUUGUGAAUGAUACUAACAUUGUGAUUAAGAGAACAAAUGUCUCUUUAGAUCUAAAGUCCUAAGCUUUUUGUCUUAGGCUGAAUUCCCCAGGAGGAGAGCCUAGACUGGUAUUUGGGUGUAUGUGAUGCAUUGGCGUGGUCUCAGGAAAAAGAUUAUAAAGGAAGUAGGAGAGCGCAAAGUAAGGCCCUAAGCAAGGGUGUGGGUUCAGCCGGAGGCUAGCUUUACUCGGAUCCCACAGGGAGCUCUGCGCGUGAGUUGUACCACAUGGCAUAUCCCACCCUGAGGAAAGAAGGCUAGCUUUUGGUACCUUUUGACAGCCAGUCACUGGCUGUGAGCUACCCUGGGAUGGGAGAUAGAAUCUUCUGGAUGAGCAGAGGGCAGAUCUCCAGGGAGAAGGCCUCUGUUGCCAUUAGCAACCAACCCUCAUGGCCACUGGGGAAUGGAUGCACCAGCCAGGUAAAAGGGACCGAGAAGAGUCACCAACAGCAUCCAUUGUGUUAUGACACCGUAGUGUCACAUGAGAGGCAUUUCACACUAUGGCUCCUGUUCUUGGUCACCCUGGCCACUCUUGCAGCUAUAAGCUUGCUACUCUUAAGUUUUUUGUUUGUUUGUGAUCAUUACAAGGGAAAACAUGGAUAGCAAAAAUAUUUGGCUUUUUGCUUUUUAGUAUUUCCCUUCUUGUGCUUUAGUAAAAAUUGUCAUCCUGCAGCAAAGUGUAGAUAAUAUGGCAGCAUCCUUUGUCAAUUUUGUCUCCUCACUUGAAGAAACAAUGACUUUGAAUACUGAAUUAUGGGUCCUUAGGCUGUAGUGAAAUCUUAAUGUGCUUUACUCAAAACUUCCUUUGCAGAUGAGUCCGUCUCACGCUUCUUGUAAUGAGAUUGCUCGUGGGGGAUGUUCGUUUGUUUAGGACUUUCUGUGAGAAAUAUGCUGUUCUGGAGACUAUUGAACUGGUUGUCAUUGGUUACUUGGCUUUAUUAAAUAAAACAGCCUCUUCUCAACUACCUUCUGUGGAACAUUAGUGUCUUUUGUACUGUAUUCUAUAGGAAAUAAGUCCUAUGGUCAAAUAAUUUUGGAGGGGAGGUGUUCUGUAUACUGUUUCCUUCUAGGAGAUUCACAGAGCACUUUGGCCUGUUAGAAGGUUCUCCAGACCCUGCAGGAAAGAAAACUGUUUACUCUUGCUUGGCUGAUCGAUUCUCAAACCUACCUGCUCAUGGAGAUGCUUGUCAUCACUGCCUCCCUCCUUUUUAUUUUUUCAGAAUACACAUUACCAGUUUACAGGACUAAUGUUCCAUAGUACACAGUUUGGAGAAUACCGAAAUGAAACUUUAUUCCUCAUCAUGUAUUACCAGGGCUUUCUGAGCAGCGAAGAACCAGUUCCACUCUUUUAUGUUGUAAAACCGGUCUCGACGCCUUAUCUACAUGCAAGGCAGGUGCAAAGCAGAUUUGGGGAUCAAAGUAGUCUCUGGAGAAAAAGGAUAGGUUAUUUGUUUGUCAUGCUGAAGGGGCUGUAAAAACAGUAACAUACUUAAUGAGGCUUCACUAUGGAUAUAUUAGUCUCCAUAAAACAUUUUAUUUAGCCUAACCUACAAUUACUUAAUGGCCAGUGAGUUUCAUAAACAGCUAGUCCCCAGCCUCAAACAUAUAUUAAGUGUCUGUUCUUUUGUGGAGUGAGUUUGCCAGGGAGAGUCAUGCAAGAUUAAAAAGAUAGAACAUUAAAAAUUCAGCCAAGACACACCAGGGCUGCCCUGAUGAUAACAACUACGGUGUGAUGUUUCUCAGUUCAUAUGGAUUCCCCAUACUGUUCUCAGUAGAAGAUAACCCUGCUAUUGCCCAAUACUCUUUCAUUAAAAAAUUAUUUGCACAGUCAUGGGUGUAUGGCAUUUCUUUUUUUGCUUAAGACAGACCCUCGGUGAGUUGAAUUUUUCUAAGGAAUUUUGAAUUGUAAGAGACAGAAAUGAAUGAAUAUUUAUUUAGAGGAAAAAUAUUGAGUCCUUACAUUUCCUACAGCACUUUGAAGUUUGCAGAGGGCUCCCUUCCCCCUUCCUCAACUAUCACUUUUGUACUUAAACAAAACCUCUGUGAGACAGUAGUAUUACCAGCACCACAAAAGUAGCAGAGGACUCUUGGAAAGCUGACCAGAGCAGCCUUACAGAAUUCAGAAGCUUUAUUUACAUUCACCUGAACCGUUAUCCUAACUUCCUUCCUUCCUACUUAGUUAUGUUCAAUCAACUUAUCAUCUAGACUCAGCCACGAGCUUACUGUGUAUCCUGAUCCAUUGCUUAGCAAUCGUUCCCUCUUGGAUCAUGAGAGGUGGUAAGUUUCUAGGAUAUGUGUGUGAGUGCAUAUGUGUGCAAAUAUGUAGGAAUUGGUGAGGGAUGAAGGACUCAGAGAUCAUCUUUAGACAGAGUCCUGUGUUCCCCACCCAGGCGUGUGGAUUUUCUCUAGUAAGAAGGGUGAGGAGGCUAGGAUCUCGGAUGCCUUGGGCAACGUGGAAGAGGGCUUGGUACAGCAGAGGCUGUUACGGUGAAUAUGGGGGUCAGAGGAUGAAGGUCUGGGAAAUGGAUGGAGCCAAGGCAAUGGAGGGGAUUCCUGAGGUGGAACUGACCAGUCUUGGAGGUAAGGGAGAUACAGCAACUCAAGAUAUUGAUGAGGCUCUAAUAGAGGUGGCCAAUAGUGCUGUUAUCAGAGAAGAGAACAAGAGGGAGACAACUGGGGUGGUAGCCUAGGGGGCGGCGGCGGGAGAGUUGAAACGAUAGAAGCCACUUUAGGAUGUGAUGAGCUUGAAGUGAAAUGUUUAGGUAGCUUGAAGUAGCCAUCCACAUUACAGAGAAAGAGAACAAAACCUGAGAUUUAGAGUUAAUGCUCGACAGUGUGUAAAGACCUGGACGCACAGACCAAAGCAUCUAGGAAGAGGGUGGCACCAGAUUGAAUCAGCCCACAUGACUCACACAUGUUAGAAAUGUCAUAUGUAUAUAUAUAUAUAUGUAUUUGGUAGUUUUUUUUGCCAUUUCUUGGGCCGCUCCUGCGGCAUAUGGAGGUUCCCAGGCUAGGAGUCGAAUCGGAGCUGUAGCCACUGGCCUCCACCAGAGCCACAGCAACGCAGGAUCCGAGCCACGUCUGUGACCUACACCACAGCUCACGGCAAUACCAGAUCCUUAACCCACUGAGCAAGGCCAGGGAUCGAACCCGCAACCUCAUGGUUCCUAGUCAGAUUCGUUAACCACUGUGCCACAAUGGGAACUCUGGAAAUGUCAUAUGUUUUUACAACGUGUAAGGCAACUCCAUUUCAUACCGAGCACUCCUCCUUGUAGUCUGGGGGAAAACCUAAUUUCGUAUCUUUGAUUUUCCCUUCCUGAGGCAGUGCUGAGACAUCAGGAUGCAGAGUGGUGAUCUGGUCCUUGGUCACCUGUUGGGUAGGUUAUUUGCCAAGGCUUGCCAUCAUUCCUACUAGAUCCUUUUUCUCUGCCAUGGCUGUGCCAUGAGAUGCCACUUGUUGUUUUGUCUGAUGAGCUUCAGCUCCACCCAGCUCUUGGGCUUGGAGUUUUGCUGUCAACCUUUUGGGAGUGUGAGGGAAGCAUGGCUGCUCUGGGAUCCUUUGGUAUCGUUCGUCUUUCCUCUCUGAGUUUUAGCCCAGGGACCUCUCUUUCUAGGGCAGGGAAGGAAGAAAGGAUGAAGCGCCCUUCCUCUCGCUUCUCACAUACCCUCCCCUCUUCUCCCCCAAACCACCACUUCUCUUAAGGGCUUAAACAUGUUUGUGUGUGUGUGUGUGUGUGUUGGGGGAAAGGCAGACAGACUUGCUGGUUAUUUGCUUAUGGCCCUGAUGCAUGCCUCCUGGUAGCUGUGGAGGAUCACGAUGGCUACCACACUGAACUGGGAGGACGGAAACAAACAAAUACAGAUACAGAGAGAAACAAGAGUAAUAUCUGAAAAUACCAUCUAGCUACAGUGUUCAAGUAAGAGGAGAAACCAAGCAGGCUUUGGGCUACAGAGUAUAGAGACAAGAGAGAACAGGAAGAUGACAUCCAGGGAAGAAGCCAGAAAGCUCCCAGAGAAUGCAACAAAAAGCACCACUCUCAGGAUGUCGAGAUGCAAGACAUGGCCCCAGCUAUGAUGAUACCAGGACAUGCCAGAGGAGGGCAGGCGAGUCAUAGCCCGGGGCUUUAAAGUAAGCCUGUGGAGUUCCCAUUGUGGCUCAGAGGUAGCAAACAUGACUAGUAUCCAUGAGGACUCGGGUUCGAUCCCUGGCCUCGCUCAGCGGGUUAAGGGUCCAGUGUUGCUGGGAGAGCGUCAGUGUAGGUUGCAGAUGAGGCUUGGAUCCCAAAUUGCUGUGGCUGUGGCUGGCAGCUGCAGCUCCAAUUUGAUCCCUAGCCUGGGAA
rnacentral:lncRNA from 1 species